GGCUCUGUGACGCAAUGGAUAGCGCAUUGGACUUCUAAUUCAACGGUUGUGGGUUCGAAUCCCACCAGAGUCG
rnacentral:tRNA from 1 species